GGUGACUGCCCUUCAGCCCGUGUGGUCGUCCCGGGCAGGCGUGAUUGGUGACGCGUGUGUCACGCUGACCCCCACUCUAUGAGGAGGCGUUCGUGUGACUCGGCACAGGGGACGUGGUACACCGCAUGACCUUGUGUGCGGUGCAGACACCUGCUCCUUCUUUUUAGUUAGGAGAACUUGGUUUCUGUCCGUGGUGCUCACGGGAUAGUGCAGGGUUAGAGCCGUCUGUGGCACGGGGAACCGUAAGGCACACACACACACACGUGCAGUGCACACUGACACAGCCAGGUGUGGGCUCUGAGGAGGCAUCACCCAGAGAAGCUUAGAUGAGGACAGUGGCAACCGUAAAACCCUGUUACUUUUCCCCACUGCAGGGCCGCCCGGCUCCUUUCUCUGCAGGUAGGUGUGUGUGCACGUGCCGAUGCGUGUGGAGUUGAGCUGCUUCACACGUCUGAGGGCCUUAGGAGAGUCAGAGAAAGUGGAGGCCAAGUUUGCUGCCGAAGCUGUUAGAAGCAGAUAAUUUAAGAGAACAUUAUUUCAUUGCAGGAAGAGACAAAACAACCUGGAUCUGCUACUUAAGACUCGUGUGAAAAGAAAAGGUAUUUUUAAAAACAGAUUUCUGUGAAUGUGACACCCAGUUGUGUGUAGUUGUCAUCAUCAGUGCCUCAGGUUUCUGAGCAGGCGUCUCAUGAUCGCACCACGCUCGUUUAAAAUUUCUGGACCUUCCUUUGCUACAGUGAGUGAUCUGCAGUUCCAGAAUGAAGCCUAGACAUAUUCCAGGUGAAAGGAGUGUAAACAUGAAAUGGAAAACUUUUUGUCUUCAUAUUGGCACUCUUGCAAUUUUUAAUAAACUCAACAUAUUUUUGUACACAUGUAGAUUAAAGAGCUAUUGGGAGGGGCCUGAAGGUCAUUCUAGCAGAAUGCAAAAUUAGAUCCUGCCCUCCCUGGUGCCUCCUCUGCCAGCUGCAAUGAAGAGGUUGUGGGCCGGGACGUUGGGGCAGAAUCCUGAGGGGUCCCUGUCAGCACCACAGCCAGGCCUGCCGGGGGGUCGGGGUCUGUGGAGUCGUGCCGCGCCUGUGACCCAGCAGCCCUGGCUCUCACUGGAAGUCAGUGGAGUCCCUGGGUCUUGAGCACAUCUGCUGCCCUUUCUUCUGAGAAGCCCCGGAGCUGCAUUUGAACAAACUCCCUGAGGACUCCUGCCCGUGUUGGGCGUAGCUCUGGCCUGCUCUGCCCACGUCCUGGGCUGAGAAGGGAGGUGGAGCCAUCUUGAAAGGCUCCCCUCCCUGGGACUCUGUGAGAGCUGCCGGUCCUGUCGCUUGGUGUGUCUUUGUCCCUGGCCUUACUGGGAAGUGUGACCACAAAGCCCCUUUCUGAGGGUCUCAUCUUGGGGCUGUGUGCUCCCCUUAGCCCUGGACACGGCUGUGUUCUCACUUCCAGGUUUUCAUUAUGUACGUCAAACUCCUUUAUACCACGAAGCUUAUCCUCAGAUCCUAGUUUUAAAAAUUAUUCUUGAGGCACCAUCUGCCCGGGGUGGGGCAGCACGCCUGGCUUCUCCCGUCCGCUCUGAGUUUUGCUCCCAGCUGGAAGCACCCCGUUGAUGUGUGUGACAGGCUUUCGACCCGGCUUGCUCGGCUAAGUUCAGGGUAAGUGCGUCUGUGAGGUGCGGUGUCCCCCCUCAGGCCGCGGCCGCUCUGUGCAGCUGGGUUGGGGGAGGCCCCGGGCGGUGUGUCCACAGCAGAAACCUGGGCCGGACUCAGCCCUGGCAGAGCAGCCUGGAGGAGGCCCCUCCUGGGUGAGGGACGAGGCCACUGACGAAACCGCCAGGCCUCUGGGCCGGUGUCUUCCCUUGGUCCGGAAAUGGCUGGUCAUCCGCACUUGGUUGCUACUUUUGGCUUAGACUCUGCCCCCCUCCGUCGUCCGUGGAACCAACUCUGUUGGGCAGAGGCCCAGCGGACAGACCGGGCCAGCCCUGUGCCCACGCAGCACCCUCACCUGCAGGCCAGGGGGCCUCCCCUGCCCCUCGGGCUGUGCCCAGACCCCGCUUCCUCCCAGGACCUGCAGCUUGGUCCUGUCUGAUGCGGGCCCUUAGCUCUCGGUCCCUGGGCGGUCGGGUGAGGGGAGGCAGGAAGGACAGCCUUUUGUGAGUGGCCUGAGAAUAGCCAUUGUGCUGCCACACUGGGAGUGUGGGUCCCGCCAGCUGCCGCACAUGCGGAAGGGCCUGUAACUAAGUGCCCAUGAGAUGGACUGUGGAAGUCUCUUUCUCCUUGGGAAAUAGCUUCAGACUUAAAAACAUUCGACUUUACCACUAAAAUCAUGAUUAGGGUUAAACCUGAUGUCCACCGAAAAGCUGCCUCGAAUUAGAACCAAGGGACUGAGCCUCAGCUCUCAGGAAAGAGCAGGUGGCUGGUGUGGCAGGUGCUGCAGAGAACCCUGGCGGAGCCGGAGCGGCCCCUGCACCGCAUGAGCUAUGCCCCAGCAUGGGCCCCGCGGCUGUGACAAGGGACACGGCCGGGCCGCUCCGCCGCUGCCCCAGGUGGUGCGUCUGAGCGGCUUGUGGGCGUGUUUUGACACGGUGUGUCCUUGCAAGUCGCCUGUGAAGAGAACAUCUGUUUUUGUCUUAGGAGGGACAUCCCUGAAGAGCCCCAGGCCACGGUCUGAGUGUCACUGACGUUUGUGUAAGUCGGGGUUUUCAAGGCACACGUUCUGCGUGGACAGAAGAGUCUGGCUGGCUUCUCCAAUGGGUAAUAAAACCCGGAGAACUUGGAACCGGUCCUGUGUUUAUGGUACUUCCUGUGGCAUGAGACAGAACAUUCUGGGACCUCAGUGUGACGCAGCUCCGGCCUUGCUCUGCCGCCCUCACGGCCACACCAGUGGUCCCAGUCUGCAGUUACGUGCACCUUCCCGCAUCACCUUGUCUGCAUAAACAUCGGGGCAGCGAGAAAGGAGGAAAGGAUUUAGUGGGACAUCUCCUCGGCCGAUGACACCCCCUGCCAGGCCCCGGGAGCACCCACAGCCUCACCACUGCCCUGCCUGUCUGGGUGGCGGGUCUGGGAGCUCCGUCCUGCCGAGAACGUGUGGGGAGACCUGGCCGGGACUCCGCAGGGCAAGCUCAGGCCGCGUGGGGCCGCUGGGCCCGUGUCCCCGCUGGGUCCCUCCUCCAGGGCUUCCCCUCCCGCUUGCGAGUGACCCGCCACACCACAGGCUCGGACCUCCGUAAGCCUGUCUCUCCGUGGGAGUUCGAUUCUGAGCUUGGGAAGGAUCAAGAUCUCAGAGGUGGGCAAGGAGCUGCAGCACAGCUGCUUCUGGGGGCCACAGGGGGGCCCGAGGGGCUGGCCCAGGAGCACGCGUCGGGUGGGGACUGUGCCGGUGACACUGCUGGACGCACGGGGACCGGGAGUGCCUGGCAGCUCACAGCCAGGUGUCUUCACGUUCAGCCUCAGAUCAACCAUCUAAUUUAUGUCCUUUUUUAUUAAUUAGUAAUUAAUUUUUACACUGACUAAUACAGAUUUCAGUAGACCACUGAAUUAUAUUCUAAAAGCUAUUUGUAUUAUCCAGGAAGCCAGGAAAUACAAAGUAUUACAAGCUUAUUUACAUAGACAGAUAUAACUUAAAGUUGAAUGAUCACUCAGAAUUUCUAAAUCAGCUAGUCUGUUUCUCCAAAAUAGAAUUAAUGGGACACUUGUCCCCAGCUGUCCCCAGGGGCUCCUAUCUGGAGAUUCAGUCUGUCUCUUUGGGCAGGUGAACCCUUUCCCUGGGGUCCCCCCCUAAAGUCACACACAACCGUUGGGAAUGGGGGUGGGGGCGGCGGCUCCCUUGGCCCUUCCCAGGGGCUGGCCUGGGUAUGGGCACCGCCCCGACAGCCCCCCUGACCUCAGCAGAACGCUGGGGGCUUUCAGGCUUCCUGUUGCCCCCCCCCCACCAAGGUUCCCCGAGCACAGUUAGGCCAGAGCGCUUCCCUCCUGGGCCUUCCUCCUCGCGGGUUUGUGUAUCAUUGAGGGGUUUCCAGAUUUUCUUUACUGUUCCAACUGAGCUAGAUUUGGGGUUUGGUGUCAAGAUUGGCUUUGCCUUUGCUGAAGGGCUCAGGUUUCAGAGCGAGCAGGCGCCUCACCCAGUGUUUGGAUUGGGGUGCAGAGAACGGCAGAACCAAGUGCCAAGAUAGUGCAGCCGGAGCUGACGCGCGCUGAGAAAGGGCAGCAGCAACGUGAGAAAGGACGCAGACACGAGGUCCCUGCAGCCAGGCUGGGGCGGGGCGCGGUGGACACCGGGCUCGGGUUUCCUUGGGGAUGUGGGGACUGUGCGGUCACCAGCUGGCCUUUUUUGUGGGACCUGUGGGCACAGUGGUGACCCUGCCUCGGCUGGGCCUCAGGCCCGAUGCCAGCCACGGGGGCGGCGAGGGGGAGGGCCGGGCCUACAGGGUCAGUCAGCAGAAGCCUUUGCCUGAAGUUCCUUAACUGUGGA